rnacentral:rRNA from 1 species
UACGUAGGGUGCGAGCGUUAAUCGGAAUUACUGGGCGUAAAGCGUGCGCAGGCGGUUUUGUAAGCCAGAUGUGAAAGCCCCGGGCUUAACCUGGGAAUGGCAUUUGGGACUGCAAGGCUUGAGUGCGGCAGAGGAGACUGGAAUUCCUGGUGUAGCAGUGAAAUGCGUAGAGAUCAUGAGGAAGACCAGUGGCGAAGGCGGGUCUCUGGACAGUUCCUGACACUGAGACACGAAGGCCAGGGGAGCAAACGGG